AGGCCUUAAUCUGGAUUUUUUUUUUUUUCCUUUGUUAGUUUGUUUUUAAGCCAGCCUUCCUGUAUCCGCGGUUUGAAGCACUUGACUGCACUCGAAAGAAUGAGAGUAGGCUCUCUCUUUGCAAUAUGGCUGACCUUAAAGCAGCUUACAGUUUGGAGACAGACCCGUUUAGUGAUAAAAAUUGGACAUUUUGCUGGUAGUCCAGGAUCCUGUGACAUUCUGGGAUUUUCAAGCUACCUCCCAGGAUGAGUACAGGCUCUCCUGAUGUUUUCUUUAUGAAAAGGUUCUGAUACAGUGCCAAACUUCCAUACUUGUUGAUGCAUAGGUUCGGUGUCUAGGCCAGACUCUGAGCCAUGCCAGGAAAUCAUCUUCACAAUCCCAGCUAAAGUAAGGUCUGAGGAAAGCAUCAGCUGUGUGUAAAUGGAACAAACAACAAAGGUCUCUGAUCAUCCUGCAGUUUUUGGUUAUUUAUUUGGAGUUUGUCAUCUUCUCUGACCAAUAAAGUUCUUUUUUUCCA